rnacentral:lncRNA from 1 species
AUAAUUAUAAGGGUGAUAUUGCCUUGUAUUACAACUUCCACUGUGACCUUGACCUUUGAACUUUAAAGUCUAUAGCGCUUAAGAUAUUCUUAACGAGUAACACCAUACCAAGUUUUGAGCAUUUUGGUUCUAGAGUGUCCAUAACAAUUUUAUCUACACGCAACUUACAUAUAGUAGGCGAGGAUAUAAUAAACUAAGUUCGGCAUAUAAUUUAAAUGCAUCGUAAGCUGUACACGACGUCUUUAAGACAUCGUAUGGCCAUCGCGCCAUCAUCGUAAUACAUCGUGUAGCCUUCGUAAUCCAUCGUGUAGCCUUCGUGAUCCAUCGUGUAGGCUUCGGCUGAGAUAUAAAGAUUAAAUACCCAUCUUCGGUUAACCUACGUAUGUCCAUCUUUUUGCUAUCGUAUAUAAUUUCGGCACCAACGUAUAGACUUCGUUAUUCAUCGUACUUGUUUCGGUCACUUUUUGCUAUUCUAACGAGAUCGGGACCAAAUUCGUACGAACUUACAAUUUUCGCAUUCGGGUGUCCAUCGUAUAUAAAAAUCGGGACAGUGUGACGCGGGUAUUAACAAACGUAUUACCGAAGAAAGCUACAAGUCAAACUUGUAUAAGGAUACUAUACUACUAAAUCUAAAGACCGUUUUUUUGUUCACCUAAUAAACAUAUUACCGAAGAAAGCUACAAGUCAAACUUAUAAAAGGAUAUAUAUACAUAAUACUGAAAGUUUUACCCUUUUACAUCGAUUGCUGUUUCAAAAAAUAAGCAAUUAGACAAUUUAUUAAGUUCCGGAACUAUCCGAUACGAUUCCCUUUAUUCAUGUCAUUAUAUGUCACAUGUUACCUAUUACCUUAUCUGUACGUUCCACAUCUUUCAGGCGCACCACCAAAUGGUGUAAUUAGGAUUUGCUAUAUACACGGGUCAUAAUCACAGUUUUGACACUACUAAAUUCAAUUAUUGUAACAUUGUUUCGAUUUUUUUGAAAGCAGAGAAAACUGUGCAUCUUAUAAUCAGAUGACAAUACCAAUACAAAAAAUCUUAUUUUUAACUAAUAUAAGACAAUGCUGUUAAUUAAAAAUUACUCAGUCCAUCCCAGGACCUUUCGUUUUCCAAAUCAUUAAUAUUACUAAUAAUUGAUAAGUUACAGGUCGACGGGUUCAAACAGAAAGAUUUUGAAAGCAGAGAAAACUGUGUAUCUUAUAAUCAGCAUGACUUUAUCAGAUGACAAUACCAAUACAAAAAAUCCAGGCUAAAAUAAGGCUUAAACAUAAUUAGAUAUUUUAAUUCAGUCACGGCCGAUAUCGCGGGUGUGUUCUAGUGGUGUAUAUAAUUAUGUUAUAAUUCUAAUGAAGCAGACAAAUUGCCUUACUAAAGUUGCAUUACUUAAUUGUUUCCCGAAAGACAAAUACAUGUAUGCUCUGACAUCCCCCUAACACAAACUCACACAAGAUACACAUACAUGUACGCACAAACACAAAAACAGACGACCAUAAACACGACUUUAUCCAAGAAUCUUCAAACUUAUGCCUAAAAUGAAUGCUUAAAUGAGAAAUUAUGAUCGGAACCUACAUAGGGCAUUAAAUUUUGAACUUUUUUGAAAAAGACUACAUGAAAACCGAGCUAUAUUAUCUCAUCAUAAUGAUAAAAUGGUAAGAGAAGUAACCAGAUUUAUCUUACAUUAAGAGGGGCUAGAAUUUUUUUUAUUUGAGCUUGAUUAAGGUAGUACCCAACACUUUCACCAAAAUUAAUUUGGCUCGUUUAAUUUUCAUAAAAUUUUGAAAAUGUAUUUACUUUGACCCUUAAACAAAAAUAUAAAAAUUUCAAAAAUUUUGAACCAACCGUUUUGUCAGAAAAAUUACACUGGUAUAUAGCAGUUUGACAAACACCAAUUUUGAUCAUUUAGAAGCUUAAUAUUCCCUUUACAACACAAUGUAAUUAAAACGUUUAGCUGACUUUACAGAGUUAUCUCCCUGUAGUGUUAGGUACCACCUUAAGUAAACGUUAAAACAAUUUCCCACUAAAAUAAAUGUUACUUUAUUCAAUUAUAAGGACUUAGUUAGCCAAAUCUACUUUUAUAUGAUAUUAUGAAUUUUUAUGACAACAGAUAAAAAUGCUAAGUAAAUCAUGCAUGAUACCUUAGAUGU